rnacentral:rRNA from 1 species
GGAGGGUGCGAGCGUUAAUCGGAAUUACUGGGCGUAAAGCGCGCGCAGGCGGGCUGGGGUCAGUCGGGAUGUGAAAGCCCCCGGGGCUUAACCUGGGAAUUGCAUUCGAUACUGCCCGGCUAGAGUAUGGGAGAGGGAAGUGGAAUUUCCGGUGUAGCGGUGAAAUGCGUAGAUAUCGGAAGGAACACCAGUGGCGAAGGCGGCUUCCUGGCCCAAUACUGACGCUCAGGUGCGAAAGCGUGGGGAGCGAACAGGAUUAGAUACCCUGGUAGUCCACGCUGUAAACGAUGAGAACUAGAUGUUGGGAGGGUUUGCCUCUCAGUGUCGCAGCUAACGCGUUAAGUUCUCCGCCUGGGGAGUACGACCGCAAGGUUG